UACGGAGGUGGCAAGCGUUGCUCGGAAUCACUGGGCGUAAAGGGCGCGUAGGCGGGGAGGUAAGUCGGGUGUGAAAUCCCUCGGCCCAACUGAGGAACUGCGCCCGAGACUGCUUCUCUUGAGUCCCGGAGAGGAAGAUGGAAUUCCCGGUGUAGCGGUGAAAUGUGUAGAGAUCGGGAGGAACACCAGUGGCGAAGGCGACUACCUGGCCUGUUCUUGACGCUGAGGCGCGAAAGCUAGGGGAGCAAACGGG
rnacentral:rRNA from 1 species